rnacentral:lncRNA from 1 species
AACAGGAGAUCUAAUGGGUCGGCCGAACGUGGGAUACUUGGAGAAUGUGAAUGCGGGAAGCAUGGGAAUUAAGCUGGAUACGGGAUAAGUAGCCUGGGACUUCGUUAACGGCUGGGAUCAGGGGAUCCGGAAGAGGCAUACGGGGUGCUGAAAUCUGUUCGUGAACGGGAGGAAUUUGGAACAAGAGGAAUGUUGGAUAUGAGAGGACUCUGUUUAGUUUGGGAGAGGGGUUGGAAGCUAGAAACGUGGACACACCAAAUGAGGAUUUAAGCUGGUUCGGAUUCGAACGUGCUUACGGCUAGGAUGACAAGGGAGGUUGAAAUAUGGAAUGAAGGGGACUUGUUUUAAUGGGUGAACGCGUAUGCAAGUGGCUGAGAUGUGAUGCAGAGGAAUUGGGAUGAAUGGCUGAAUCAAAAUCUGAGAGGAUCUAAUUUGCAGGGUGCAUACGAUUUGGGUUCAGGGAUCAUCUCAACUGAGUUUGACUUGACCUGCAUACCUUAGAUUCGACCAAUAAAAUCAAGCAAACUCGAAUUAUUUUUAAUAAUGCAAUGAUGAAGGGAAACAUAUUUUCUUAUGUUUAAAUUUAAAAUAUGUGCCUAAAAAUAAUAAUAAGUGCUAUGUAAAAUAGAUAACUUUAUUCAUUAUUUAGCACUUAUCACACCCCCCAACCUACAUUUUGCUAGUCCUCGAGCAAAAUAAAAACUCACUUUCGCAGGAAUCGCGAUUGCAUUUACCUUAUGCAAUAAGGCUUUAAACCCCUAGGUGGCCCUAGUGGACGAGUUUUGUCUCGUGAGGAUUUUCGGUGCAGCUACCCACAAACUGCUGUCGAAAGAAUUUAUUUUAUUGUUUUAUAAAAUCUAAUUUCAAAUGCCUUAAUGUCAAGAAUUUCAAAAGCACACAAAGUUUUAAUUACUAAGUCAGCCCAAAUCCCAGGUCAGUAUGCAACUUAAGUUGAAGUCAUUAAGUUUCAGUUAGAAAGUUGUAAGGCAUAUUUAUACUUGGGUGCUCGGUGAAAUCUGGACCAUACACGAGCUAAGGCUUUCGGUUCUCCAAAAUACUGCUAAAGCUAGUAGUUUCCAAGAAUUGGUCAGAUAAGACCUAUACACUGAUUCAAAAUCAUCCUAUCUUGCAAGAUUUCGAGAGUUGUGGAUGUUUACUUUAAUACCUCAUGGGCUUUAUCUGUAAUAUUCCAGUUUACUCGAAUUUUUAUAAUAACGGCUUUCACAUUAUCGUCUUUUCAAGGUCAAUAUUAUUUUCUCUUUUUUCUCUUUUUUAAUUUAUUUUUUUG